rnacentral:misc_RNA from 1 species
CUCGUACUCAAGGAGUUGGAUUUACUAAAUGAAGGUGCCAAUGUUUACAAGUUGAUUGGCCCUGUUCUUGUGAAGCAGGACUUGGCUGAGGCCAAUGCCAAUGUCCGCAAGAGAAUUGAUUAUAUCUCUGCUGAACUAAGAGACUUGAUGCAACUCUUCAAGACUUGGAAGAGAAGCAAAAUAGCAAGAAGGAUGCGAUCUUAAAGUUACAACAAAGGAUCCAAUCUCUCCAAGCUGGAAAGGCCAAGGCAUAAUUUGGAAUGUUUUAUAAUUAAUAGACGUGUUACUCUUUUUGUUUUUGGAUCACUAUGCAAUUAACUUACAUGUGAAAAAUAUUGUGGUUUUUGGGGGACUAGAUGUUG